GACGAACGCUGGCGGCACGCUUAACACAUGCAAGUCGAACGAGAGAGAAGAUUAGCUUGCUAAACUUCGAUCUAGUGGCGGACGGGUGAGUAACACGUGAGGAACCUGCCUAUCAGAGAGGGAUACCGUUUGGAAACGAACGUUAAUACCACAUAACGUAACGAUACCGCAUGGUAAUGUUACCAAAGAUUUAUCGCUGAUAGAUGGCCUCGCGUCUGAUUAGAUAGUUGGUGAGGUAACGGCUCACCAAGUCGACGAUCGUUAGCCGGACUGAGAGGUUGAACGGCCACAUUGGGACUGAGACACGGCCCAGACUCCUACGGGAGGCAGCAGUGAGGAAUAUUGGGCAAGUGGGCGCAAGCCUGACCCAGCAAUGCCGCGUGAAGGAAGACGGUUUUCGGAUUGUAAACUUCUUUUAAGAGGGACGAUAAUGACGGUACCUCUUGAAUAAGCCACGGCUAACUACGUG
rnacentral:rRNA from 1 species